rnacentral:rRNA from 1 species
AACGAAGAGGUAUCGUAAUUGAAGAGGUUUGGAAAGACCCACCACAGAAGGUAAUAGUCCUGUAUGUUAAACGAGAAGACUUUAGAUAUGAUCCAGAGUACCACGGGACACGUGAAACCCUGUGGGAAGCAGGAGGGACCACCCUCCAAGGCUAAAUACUACCUAGUGACCGAUAGCGUAUAGUACCGUGAGGGAAAGGUGAAAAGAACCCCGGGAGGGGAGUGAAAUAGAACCUGAAACCCUGCACUUACAAGCUGUGGAAGCACAUUUCUUGUGUGACCGCGUACUUUUUGUAGAACGGGCCAACGAGUUACGUUAAGUAGCAAGGUUAAGCACUUAAGGUGCGGAGCCGUAGCGAAAGCGAGUUUUAACUGAGCGUUCAGUUACUUGACGUAGACCCGAAACCGGGCGACCUACCCAUGAGCAGGAUGAAGCGAAAGUAAAAUUUCGUGGAGGUCCGAACCCACGAGCGUUGAAAAGCUCGGGGAUGACUUGUGGGUAGCGGUGAAAUUCCAAUCGAGCCCGGAGAUAGCUGGUUCUCCCCGAAAUAGCUUUAGGGCUAGCCUCAAGGUGAGAGAUACGGAGGUAGAGCACUGAAUGUCCUAGGGGGUAUUGCACCUACCGAAGACUAUCAAACUCCGAAUGCCGUCAUCUUAUACUUGGGAGUCAGACUGUGGGUGAUAAGAUUCAUAGUCGAAAGGGCAACAGCCCAGAUCGUCAGCUAAGGUCCCUAAAUGUAAGUUAAGUGGUAAAGGAUGUGGGAUUGCACAGACAACCAGGAUGUUGGCUUAGAAGCAGCCACUCAUUCAAAGAGUGCGUAAUAGCUCACUGGUCGAGUGAUCCUGCGCCGAAGAUUUCCGGGGCUAAAACUUACUACCGAAGCUACGGCAUCAGUAAUGAUGGGUAGGGGAGCUUCCCAUACGGGUUGAAGCAUGACCGUAAGGACAUGUGGACAGUAUGGGAGUGAGAAUGUUGGCAUGAGUAGCGAGAUGUGGGUGAGAAUCCCACAGGCCGUAAACCCAAGGUUUCCAGGGGAAGGUUCGUCCGCCCUGGGUUAGUCGGGACCUAAGCUGAGGCCGAAAGGCGUAGGUGAUGGACAACAGGUUGAUAUUCCUGUACUACCGAUAACCGUUUGAGAGAAGGGAUGACACAGUAGGAUAAGCUAAGCACACUGUUGGUUAUGUGUGCCCAAGCAUUGAGGCAGUCAAAGUAGGCAAAUCCGCUUUGAUAAUGCUGGGAUGUGAUGGGGAGCGAAAUUUAGUAGCGAAGUAGCUGAUUUCACACUGUCAAGAAAAGUCUCUAUCGAGGUUAAAGGUACCCGUACCGCAAACCGACACAGGUGGGUGAGGAGAGUAUCCUAAGGCCAGCGAGAGAACUGUUGUUAAGGAACUCGGCAAAAUGACCCCGUAACUUAGGGAUAAGGGGUGCCACCAUCAGGUGGCCGCAGAGAAUAGGCCCAAGCGACUGUUUACCAAAAACAUAGGUUUCUGCUAAGUCGCAAGACGAUGUAUAGGAGCUGACGCCUGCCCGGUGCUGGAAGGUUAAGGGGAUCUGUUAGAGCAAUCGAAGCAGUGAACUUAAGCCCCAGUAAACGGCGGCCGUAACUAUAACGGUCCUAAGGUAGCGAAAUUCCUUGUCGGGUAAGUUCCGACCCGCACGAAAGGCGUAACGAUUUGGGCACUGUCUCAACAACAGACUCGGUGAAAUUGUAAUUCCGGUGAAGAUGCCGGAUACCUGCGACAGGACGGAAAGACCCCAUGGAGCUUUACUGUAGCUUGACAUUGGGUCUUGGUACUACAUGUACAGGAUAGGUGGGAGGCUUUGAAACCAGGACGCCAGUUUUGGCGGAGCCAUCCUUGGGAUACCACCCUUGUA